CCCUACGGGGUGCAGCAGGCGCGAAAAUUUUACACUGUACGUAAGUGCGAUAAAGGAACUCCAAGUGCUUAUGCUUUGCAUAGGCUUUUAUCAAGAGUAAAUAUCUUGGUGAAUAAGUGGUGGGAAAGACUGGUGCCAGCCGCCGCGGUAAUACCAGCGCCACGAGUGGGAAUCAUGUUUAUUGGGCCUAAAGCGUUCGUAGCUGGUUUGGUAAGUUUUGGGUGAAAUCGUUGCGCUUAACAAAACGACGUGCUUAAAAUACUACCAGACUUGAGACCGGGAGGGGUUAGGAGUAUUCAGGAGGGAGCGGUAAAAUGCUAUAAUCUUCUGAGGACUACUCGUGGCGAAAGCGCCUAACCAGAACGGGUCUGACAGUGAGGAACGAAAGCCAGGGGAGCAAAACGGAUUAGAUACCCGUGUAGUCCUGGCUGUAAACGCUGCGAGCUAGAUGUUGCAUAUUCUACAUGAAUAUGCAGUAUCGAAACGAAGGUGUUAAGCUCGCCGCCUGGGAAGUACGGUCGCAAGGCUGAAACUUAAAGGAAUUGGCGGGGGAGCAC
rnacentral:rRNA from 1 species